CUGAAGCUAGUGAGUCGCGGCGCCGCGCACUUGUGGUUGGGUCAGUGCCGCGCGCCGCUCGGUCGUUACCGCGAGGCGCUGGUGGCCUUCAGGCUGGACGGCGCGGGUCAGCCCUGGUUUGCCGGCUUCUGGGUCUUUGAACAGCCGCGAUGUCGAUCUUCACCCCCACCAACCAGAUCCGCCUAACCAAUGUGGCCGUGGUACGGAUGAAGCGCGCCAGGAAGCGCUUCGAAAUCGCCUGCUACAAAAACAAGGUCGUCGGCUGGCGGAGCGGCUUGGAAAAAGACCUUGAUGAAGUUCUGCAGACCCACUCAGUGUUUGUAAAUGUUUCCUAAGGUCAGGUUGCCAAGAAGGAAGAUCUCAUCAGUGCGUUUGGAACAGAUGACCAAACUGAAAUCUAUUUUGACUAAAGGAGAAGUUCAAGUAUCAGAUAAAGACACACACAACUGGAGCAGAUGUUUAGGGACAUUGCAAUUAUUGUGGCAGACAAAUGUGUGACUCCUGAAACAAAGAGACCAUACACCGUGAUCCUUAUUGAGAGAGCCAUGAAGGACAUCCACUAUUUGGUGAAAACCAACAGGAGUACAAAACAGCAGGCUUUGGAAGUGAUAAAGCAGUUAAAAGAGAAAAUGAAGAUAGAACGUGCUCACAUGAGGCUUCAGUUCAUCCUUCCAGUGAAUGAAGGCAAGAAGCUGAAAGAAAAGCUCAAGCCACUGAUCAAGGUCAUAGAAAGUAAAGAUUAUGGCCAACAGUUAGAAAUCGUAAGAGUCAAAUAUUUUCUUUGCUUCAUGUUACCUAAAUAUUGUAUUCUCUAGUAAUAAAUUUGUAGCAAACAUUCA
ensembl:lncRNA SBDSP1 SBDS pseudogene 1